rnacentral:rRNA from 1 species
UAUCCUGGCUCAGAUUGAACGCUGGCGGCAUGCUUUACACAUGCAAGUCGGACGGCAGCACAGAGAAGCUUGCUUCUUGGGUGGCGAGUGGCGAACGGGUGAGUAAUAUAUCGGAACGUACCGAGUAAUGGGGGAUAACUAAUCGAAAGAUUAGCUAAUACCGCAUAUUCUCUGAGGAGGAAAGCAGGGGACCUUCGGGCCUUGCGUUAUUCGAGCGGCCGAUAUCUGAUUAGCUAGUUGGUGGGGUAAAGGCCUACCAAGGCGACGAUCAGUAGCGGGUCUGAGAGGAUGAUCCGCCACACUGGGACUGAGACACGGCCCAGACUCCUACGGGAGGCAGCAGUGGGGAAUUUUGGACAAUGGGCGCAAGCCUGAUCCAGCCAUGCCGCGUGUCUGAAGAAGGCCUUCGGGUUGUAAAGGACUUUUGUCAGGGAAGAAAAGGAUAGGGUUAAUACCCCUGUCUGAUGACGGUACCUGAAGAAUAAGCACCGGCUAACUACGUG